rnacentral:lncRNA from 1 species
AGUGAGACUCACAGGCCUGUAAUUCCUAGGGUCUUCUUUCUUGCCCUUCUUGAAAACUGGGACAAUGUUUCCCAGCUUCCAGUCGACUGGGACCUCUCCAGAUUCCCCAGACUGUUGAAAAAUAAUCGUGAGGGGUCUUGUGCUGACAUCAGCCAGCUCUCUGAGUACCCUGGGACGGAUCCCAUUGGGCCCCAUGGACUCGUGCAUCGAGCUGGAGCUGGUUUUAAGCAGGAGCUGAGCAGCGUCCUGGCCCCAGGGGGGUCCAUCCCCAUCCCCAGGCGGUGCCCUCUGGGCCCCAGGCAGCGCUGCUGUGCCGGGCGGGUGCCGGAGCCCUGGCACAGGCUGCCCGGAGAGGGGCUGGGGGCUCCUCCGCGGGGUCUCCGGCAGCCGCCGGGACGUGGGGCUGGGCCAGCGGCCCCGCGGGGCCCUGCUGCCGUGCCGUGCCGUGCCGUGCCGUGCCGUGCCGUGCCGUGCCGUGCCGCGCCGUGCCGCGCCGUGCACUCAGGCGCUGCCCCGUGCCGCCCCGCACCGCUCCCCGCCGCGCCGCGUUGCUCCGUGCUGCCCUCUGCUGCCCGGUGCCGAGCCGGGCCGAGCCGAGCCACCCUGCUCCGUGCCGUACCACGCUGCACCGUGCGCUGCUGCCCCAGCACCCUCGUGCCGCACCGCGCCGUGUCAGCCCGUGUCAGCCCGUGCCAUCCCGUGUCAGCCCGUGCCAUUCCAUCCCGUGCCGUGCCAUCCCGUGCCGUGCCGUGCCGUGCCAUCCCGUGCCGUGCCGUGCCGCCCCGCAGCAUCCCACGCCGCCUUGCGCUGCUGCAUCUCGCGCCGCCCCGCACCGCCCCGCACCGCCCCGCACCGCGCCGUGCCCGCUCCGCUCCGCCCCGCCCUCGGAAGCGGAAGCCGACCCCCCCCGCCCCCCGGCAGCGGAGCCGCCGCAGGUACCGGAGGGGCCGCAGCGGGGCCGCUCCCCCCGGGGCUGCGCAGGGGGGGUCCGGGGCCGGGGGUCGGGCGACAGCGGCUCCGGGCCCGGCGCAGCGGGGGCACUGGGACGGGGACGGGGCCCGGGGGGCCGGGGGCGGCUGCGGGGGGCCGGGCUCGGCCGUGGGAGCCGGGCAGGACCGGGCCCAGGGGCGCUGCGGGGCUGAGCCCCACGGCGCGUGGGGCAGGGUCGCGGCUGCGGGGCCGCCGCGGGCUGAGGGCGGCCCGGGGCCGGGGGGGCGGCUGGGGAAGGGCAGGGGGGCAGGGGGGGCACCCCCGCCGCCACUGCCGCCCCCGCUGUCC